AUGACUAUGCAAAAGCAAGGAGUGUUUCAUAAAAGAGAGAAUAAAGAAAUAUCCAAUACUUUUCUUUUGAUGAGAACAUAUCAAUUGCCAUCAUGUUGCCAACAACCAAAUUUGAUAAAAAUAACAUCACAAUCAGUUUUAAAACUGAAAUUAGAUAAAUAUGGAAUUAUCAUGUUUUGGCUUGAUUUGCAGUUUCACGCACAAAUUAAAUGUAUACCGGUUCUUUAUUAA